AUUGAACGCUGGCGGCAGGCCUAACACAUGCAAGUCGAGCGGAUGACGGGAGCUUGCUCCUUGAUUCAGCGGCGGACGGGUGAGUAAUGCCUAGGAAUCUGCCUGGUAGUGGGGGACAACGUUUCGAAAGGAACGCUAAUACCGCAUACGUCCUACGGGAGAAAGCAGGGGACCUUAGGGCCUUGCGCUAUCAGAUGAGCCUAGGUCGGAUUAGCUUGUUGGUGAGGUAAUGGCUCACCAAGGCGACGAGCCGUAACUGGUCUGAGAGGAUGAUCAGUCACACUGGAACUGGUACACGGUCCAGACUCCUACGGGGGGCAGCAGUGGGGAAUUUUGGGCAAGGGGCGAAAGCCUGAUCCAGCCAGGCCGCGUGUGUGAAGAAGGUCUUCGGAUUUUAAAGCACUUUAAGUUGGGAGGAAGGGUUGUAGAUUAAUACUCUGCAAUUUUGACGUUACCGACAGAAUAAGCACCGGCUAACUCUGUGCCAGCCGCCGCCGUAACAC
rnacentral:rRNA from 1 species